rnacentral:rRNA from 1 species
AGUAACACGUGAGUAACCUGCCCCCUUCUUCGGGAUAACGUUCGGAAACGGAUGCUAAUACCGGGUAUUUACCUCAUGUCGCAUGGUGUGGGGUGGAAAGGUUUUUUCUGGUGGGGGAUGGGCUCGCGGCCUAUCAGCUUGUUGGUGGGGUGAUGGCCUACCAAGGCUUUGACGGGUAACCGGCCUGAGAGGGUGACCGGUCACAUUGGGACUGAGAUACGGCCCAGACUCCUACGGGAGGCAGCAGUGGGGAAUUUUGCACAAUGGGCGAAAGCCUGAUGCAGCGACGCCGCGUGAGGGAUGACGGCCUUCGGGUUGUAAACCUCUUUCGCUCAUGGUCAAGGCUAGUUGUUGUUCUAGUUGAGGGUAGUGGGUAAAGAAGCGCCGGCUAACUACGUGCCAGCAGCCGCGGUAAUACGUAGGGCGCGAGCGUUGUCCGGAAUUAUUGGGCGUAAAGGGCUUGUAGGCGGCUUGUCGCGUCUGCCGUGAAAACCCAUAGCUUAACUGUGGGCUUGCGGUGGGUACGGGCUGGCUUGAGUGCGGUAGGGGAGACUGGAAUUCCUGGUGUAGCGGUGGAAUG